AUUGCAGAAUUCAGUGAAUCAUCGAGUCUUUGAACGCACAUUGCGCCCCCUGGUAUUCCGGGGGGCAUGCCUGUCCGAGCGUCAU
rnacentral:rRNA from 1 species